UGGGGAAUUUUGGACAAUGGGCGCAAGCCUGAUCCAGCCAUGCCGCGUGCAGGAUGAAGGCCUUCGGGUUGUAAACUGCUUUUGUACGGAACGAAAAGGUGCCUUCUAAUAAAGGGCGCUCAUGACGGUACCGUAAGAAUAAGCACCGGCUAACUACGUGCCAGCAGCCGCGGUAAUACGUAGGGUGCGAGCGUUAAUCGGAAUUACUGGGCGUAAAGCGUGCGCAGGCGGUUUUGUAAGACAGAGGUGAAAUCCCCGGGCUCAACCUGGGAACUGCCUUUGUGACUGCAAGGCUGGAGUGCGGCAGAGGGCGAUGAAAUUCCGCGUGUAGCAGUGAAAUGCGUAGAUAUGCGGAGGAACACCGAUGGCGAAGGCAGCUCCCUGGGUUGACACUGACGCUCAUGCACGAAAGCGUGGGGAGCAAACA
rnacentral:rRNA from 1 species